GACGAACGCUGGCGGCGUGCUUAACACAUGCAAGUCGAACGCUGAAGACCUGGCUUUUGUUGGGUUGGAUGAGUGGCGAACGGGUGAGUAACACGUGAGUAACCUGCCCUCUUCUUUGGGAUAACGCCCGGAAACGGGUGCUAAUACUGGAUAUUCACUGGCCUUCGCAUGGGGGUUGGUGGAAAGGUUUGUUCUGGUGGGGGAUGGGCUCGCGGCCUAUCAGCUUGUUGAUGGGGUGAUGGCCUACCAAGGCUUUGACGGGUAGCCGGCCUGAGAGGGUGACCGGUCACAUUGGGACUGAGAUACGGCCCAGACUCCUACGGGAGGCAGCAGUGGGGAAUAUUGCACAAUGGGCGAAAGCCUGAUGCAGCGACGCCGCGUGAGGGAUGGAGGCCUUCGGGUUGUAAACCUCUUUCGCUCAUGGUCAAGCCGCAACUGUGGGUUGUGGUGAGGGUAGUGGGUAAAGAAGCGCCGGCUAACUACGUG
rnacentral:rRNA from 1 species